AGUUCUUCAACCCCCCGCCUCCCGAGUAGCUGAGACUACAGGAAAGGAAAGCUGCUACAUCAUGACAAGAAGCUAAUCAAUCAAGAAGCAAGGAGCUGCUGGCACCUUGACUAACUACAGACCCUUGCUGCCGACCCUGCCGGGAUCCCCAGAAUCACCACUGCUACUUCAGAAA